GCUGUACAUGAUGACAACUGGCUCCCUCUACUGAAUUUGGUGAGGAAACUGCCAUGUCACCACUUCUGACUACAGC
rnacentral:snoRNA from 1 species